ensembl:lncRNA
CAUUAAUCUUAAGCUGGCUUGAUGAUGCAUUGAAGUGAUAGUGAAGGUUAAAUGGUUUGAAAGGUUACCUCUGAUCAUUGGUUUAUCAUGCAAAUUAAGCCAAAUUUCAUUCUUUGUCGUUUUUUUUGCCUUUUAGGACAUAUUUUUGAUGGAUACAAAUGAUGAUGCAUCAUUUGAAUAUCUACUCUGAUUGGUCUGUUUGCUAACUGGGGGAGCAUUCAGACUCUUAAAGUCUCCACUUCUUACAAGGCAUGCAAGAACACAUUAGUAAGCAACUGAUUAUGGAGUGGAGCUUCAAGUUCUCAAGUGUCACAGAGCAUGAAUGCUGGAGUUUUGGAAAGAGGAGAGAUUUGAUUUAUGUUUCAAAAGAGAGACUGAGUGAAAGAGGAAAGGAUGGGCAGGAAGAUGAAAAAUGAUUAUUUACGUGACCUUUAUGUUAAUUCGGUGAUGACUCUGGUUUUCUAUUUAUCAUCCUGAAUCACAUAAACCAUGAGAGAGACACAGACAGCUCUGAAUGUUCACAUCAAUCUGAGUGUGUGUGUGUGUGUGUAAGAGAGAUUUGAGCAAAGGGAACUUUUUUGCUGGUGCUGUUUGAUAAAAUCGCAUGAAAGCAUGUCAGUGGAGACAUGCUGACAAACAAACAGACAAAAAGAUGGAGUUUCGUUUGAGAAGUGAAAGGGGUAGAAAACAGAAGGACAGGACGGAGAAAUGGAUUUGCUGGCCAAAACAACUGUAUAUAGGAUAAGUAAAAAUCCUAUAAAGGCCCUAAAAAGUAUGCUAUUUAGACACUGAAGUCACACAACACCAUGUAUACAUUUAAUAAGAUCACAAAAUUUCAACUCAAAUGACAUUUACAGACAUAUGAUAUAAAUUUUCUCACAACUAACUUGACUUUCCUGAGCUAUUUCUGUAAUUACUUUUAACCAACAGGUUUUAAGUGGAUGUACAGUAUGAAGUCAGUUCCCCUCAAUAACUGCAGUGUUGUCUCAGCAACCAAUGGCACACUGAUCGUCUGAUGCAUACUGCCCACAAAACCGGCAAGGACUUUCUUAAUCUGGCAAACUCUAAUUAUAGUGAUACUAAGGGGUACACAGAGUUUUCUGUCAGUCCACCUGAGAACAAAG